UAGUAGAAAUUUUAUAUAUUUCUACUGUUAAAAAUUGGUGUUGUUGACAAAAUAAUAAGAUAAUUACACGUGACAUAUCAUGUGUACUUCAUUCUAACAUACAGGGACUAAUUUUUAACAAUAGAAAUGAAUUGGAGUUUUAAUA
rfam:Gossypium raimondii Chr04_contig_690, whole genome shotgun sequence.